rnacentral:rRNA from 1 species
UACGUAGGGUGCAAGCGUUGUCCGGAAUUAUUGGGCGUAAAGAGCUCGUAGGCGGUUCGUCGCGUCGGCUGUGAAAUCCCGAGGCUCAACCUCGGGUCUGCAGUCGAUACGGGCGGACUGGAGUUCGGCAGGGGAGACUGGAAUUCCUGGUGUAGCGGUGAAAUGCGCAGAUAUCAGGAGGAACACCGGUGGCGAAGGCGGGUCUCUGGGCCGAUACUGACGCUAAGGAGCGAAAGCGUGGGGAGCGAACGAGGA